GCCGAAAAAGCUCAGUUGGGAGAGCGUUACACUAUAGAUCGAAGGUCUCUGGUUCGAUCCCGGGUUUCGGCA
rnacentral:tRNA from 1 species